rnacentral:tRNA from 1 species
AGCAGCAUAGCUUAGUAGAAAGAGCACGGACUUGGGAGUCCGAGGACCUGGGUUCUAAUCCCGGCUCUGCUA